rnacentral:tRNA from 1 species
GCGGAUGUAGUUCAAUGGUAGAACUUCAGCUUCCCAAGCUGACGGCGCGGGUUCGAUUCCCGUCAUCCGCU